UCUACAGCUGAAUCAUCAUACAUCAUUGAGGCAGAAAUUAGUUGGUUAUAAAAACAGGGUUUAUAUUAUUGGAAGUUGUUUUAUGCAACAGAGAAAAAAAAUUAAGCAAGUUAUAUUUUACAAUUCAAACAUGAGCAUAUUAUGAUUUCAAGUGUAAAUUUCAUUGGAAUAUGUUGUAUUUAUAUGUUACAACUAUAAAUACCUUUAAAACAUUUCAAAUAUUAGUUGUAACUUUCAAUUCAAAGAAAUUAAAUAUAUAGAUAUAAGACGAUGUGGUAUGAGUGCCAAUGAGACAACUCUCCAUACAAGUAACAAUUUGUAAAAGUAAACCAUUAUAGGUCAAAGUAGAGUCUUCAACACAGAGCGUUGGCUCACACCGAACAGCAAGUUCUUGAUUUAUACUAAAAUUGACCUACAUAGGAAAUGUUAAAUUGAAAACCAUCAACCAGAGAAUUCUGAAAUGUCAUCAACUUUCAAUUUAAUAAUCCUAUAGUAUACAUAAAUUCAAUUGUACUUCUUGCACCACUUCUGCUUUAUUGCUUCUAUAACGAUCAAAACACUUAUUAAAAUGUGUUUAUUGCACUUAUUGGUCAUAAAUCCUUAAUAUGUUUUUGAUCACACUAUAAGAAUUUAUAUUGGUAAAAAAA
rnacentral:lncRNA from 1 species